UACGGGGGGGGCAAGCGUUGUUCGGAAUUACUGGGCGUAAAGGGCUUGUAGGCGGCCAACUAAGUCCGACGUGAAAUCCCCAGGCUUAACCUGGGAACUGCGUCGGAUACUGGAUGGCUUGAAUUCGGGAGAGGGAUGCAGAAUUCCAGGUGUAGCGGUGAAAUGCGUAGAUAUCUGGAGGAACACCGGUGGCGAAGGCGGCAUCCUGGACCGGCAUUGACGCUGAGGCGCGAAAGCGUGGGGAGCGAACAGG
rnacentral:rRNA from 1 species